ACCAAAGGCAAAGGUAACACACUUAUUUUAACACACACACACACACACACACACGCAUAACAAGCAUGAAUACAAUGACAAAAAUACAUACACACAAUAAAAGACACAAACAAAGUGUUCAGUGCUGCCUCUUAUAGCCACAGAGCUGCCUCAGUUAACCCCAGUUCUAUUAAUUCAGGGUCACCUCUAACACACACACACACAGAAAUGACAGCGCAGCCAAUUGCCAUCUUCUGUAAUCAACAGAUAAUGGUUACUUAGGGUUUUUUUUCCCAGUCUAAGUUUGUACUAUCAUGAUUGUAGGUCCGUUGAUGAAGCUGUUUGAUUUGACUGUAAUAACCGUUACCGCAUAUGAUGCAAUGGUUGAUGUACACUACAGGCCAAAAGUUUUGAAGCAAGGCCAUUACAGGCCAAACAGUUGGGAGUAACUUCAAGUUUUUGUUCACAAUGCUUUUUUUUUAAAUCCAGCAUGAGUUUUAUGUAUUUUGGGAUGUAUUUACUCCAUGAUCAGAUGUUGCCUUCAUGGAAAUGCACCAUUUUACUCCAUUUAACUUUAGAUAUACAUUGAUGUUAACAGACAAUUGCUAAAUAUAUUAUUCAGCAAAAGAUAAUGAGGGCUUAGUUUUAGGGUUGAAAACAUUUGCAAGAGUCACAACUUCAGUGCAAAAACAAAUCACAGUUGGAUUAUUCACUUCAACUUUUUGGCUUUUGAGAGCCUGCAUACAAAAAUCCUAAUAAAUCUCAACUACAUUCAAACUACCACAAAAAUGGCUAGAAAGAAGCAACUGAGUAAAGAAACAAAAGUACAUAUUUGUACAUUGAGGAAAGAAGGAUACACAGAAAGAGAAAUUGCAAAACACCUAAAGGUGUUUAACAAAGGAGUCCGCUACAAUCUGAUGAGACUAAAAGAACCUGGAAGUUAUGAUGAUAGAAAAAGACCUGGACGAAAGAGAGUUACUUAAAAAGCAGAGGAUAAACAUAUCAUUGUUACCAGUAAGAGAGAUCGGCAAAAGACAGCACCAAAAAAAGGCAGGAAAUCAACAUGACAAAAUCUAAACCCAUAUCUCUGACAACCGUGAAAUGACGUUUGAGAAAGGCUGGACUGAAGGGUUGUGUAUCUGCAAAAAAACACUACUUCAUCCACAGAACAAGAAAAAGAGACAUGAGUGGGCAAAAGCUCACAAAAAUUGGACUUAUGAUGACUAGAAACAAGUUUGAACUGUUUGUUUCAAAACGCAGAGUCUAUGUCCACAGACAAACUGGUGAACGUCUCAAAGCACCAUGUGUUACACCCACAAUUCAGCAUGGAGGUGGUAGUUCCAUGGUAUGGGGAUGUUUUGCAAGUGAUGGAGUAGGAGAUUUGUUUGAAGUAAAGGGUAUCAUGAAGAAGGAACAGUACCAUUCCAUCCUCCAGCACCAUGCUGUUCCAUCUGGACUCAGACUCAUAAGUUUGUUUUGCAGCAAGACAAUGACCCUAAGCACUCUGCCAAGCUCUGUCAUGUCUGCUCCAUAGAGCAGACAUGUGACAGACGGUUUUUGCAGGUUUACUCAUGUUUAAUAAAGUAAACUAUGUUAUUUUAUGUUGUGGUGUUACCUUCAGACAGAGUUUGCAGUUCAAAGUCUUGUUGGGGUCCACAUGGAUCAGGGAUUGACCAUGGGAUUCUUCUGUGUUACUGAUAAAUCCAUAACCAGGAAGUAUUUCUCAUCUACACGAACUGAUACACAGUCAGGAGUUUGCAUACAGUGUUUUAUUUUGAAAUUUACAGGAUGACAUGCAUGUUUUUUGUGCUUGACAUCCCGUCUAGAACGAUUUUCUCUAUGUAAAUUGACGCGUGUUGGAAGCGUAGAGCAAAAAAUUAGGCUUGGCACGAAUCUUUAGCAGAGCCGCACUUGAACGCCUACGAUACGGAGCUGCGACAUAGUUGAUAUGCGACCUGUGUGCAAUUAGAACGGAAACCUAUUUGCUGCGUGAUACGCGAUGCUGACGGAACGCACUCACACGGAUCCUGUAUGUUUUAGCCUUGACAGACAUUGACAAAGGGCAGUGAUCACUAGAAACAUUUAACAAUAAAUAAGGUGUCAAUGUCAAAAUACUUCAUUAGUCAUCAUAUUCAGACGGCGAUGUUUGUAGGAAAACUACUUAUUCUGACAGUCAAAUUCAGUCCCCCUGUAUUUCUGUGUCUGGCUUUUGAAACAUAAACUUGGCGUUAUGUUAGCUCCAUUUCCAAUUCCUAAAAAAAAGUAGUGGCAUACACUUAUCAUUUCAACUAUUUAUCCGAGAGCUGCCCCUGGUUCUGCUCUAUACCUAUCUAUAAAUCUAUCAAUAAAUUAAUCAUAGCCAAACAGCCAAUCAUAUACAGUAGCUACCAGUCAGAACUUUCAGGGUGAACUAAUGUUAUGACAUCCCUUGACUGGAAUCAGGGGAUAACACCAAAACACAUAAAACAAGUCAAAAGCAUAGGCUUAUGGAAAAUGGAGAGCCUUGCCAACAGAGGCAGCUUAGCACCUUAUCUGUUAAAACACUGGUUACAUGUGGUUACUCUGCUUCUGAAGACUUAAAUCCAAUGUGCACCACUACCACAUUAUUUCCUCUAGUUUUCUCUCCUUUGCUAAAUGAGAUCCAUCAUAAGUAUGUUGAUUAUGACAGGGACAGAGUGCAGGGGAGUGAAUAUGACAGAGAAACCGAAAAGGACAUAGAGAGAGGGAAAGGGAGUUAGAGAAUCAGAGGAACCAUUUACUCUAUAGGUUUUAGGGGAGAUUUAUUUCUGCCAGAGCUUAUUACAGACAAACAGCAGAUGAACAAAGCACUGGUUAGAGUGGGCUGAAAUAAAGCCUUACAUUAUUCAUAGUAUUUCUUCCUGCUUAACACUCCCGUCCUCUUUUCCUGAUUUUUCUUUUUCCCUCUCUUUCCCUAAGGCAUUUAUCAUCUCUUCACCUCUACUCUGUUUCUGCCCCUUGUUUUUUUCCAGUUAUCUUUCUGUAUCUUCAUUGUCCCUGAUAGAAGGCAUCUUUAAGUCUCUGCAACCUUUUAAGGUCACACAAACACGCACACCCCUAUCCCUUAGGAUACUUAGUAUGCUGCCAUGAUACAGAUGCCCCACAGCCAACCAAGGUACAACCCAAACAUGUGAGGCUUUCCAUUAACUUGAUAAUUUAAUAUCUUCUUAAUAGAAACAUCACCUUCAUGCCCUGAGGAAAUCAUGUCCUAACUCAACCCUCACCUUUAAAGUAAGACUUUUUUUUUUUAAACAGCCUUUUUUUCUCACAGCGUCCUCAGGCUUUGUGUUUCUGUGGGGAAAAUGGAGCGGUAGGAAAUAAUUAAAAACAUGCAUCAUACACACAACCUAAGUCCCAACUGACUCCAGGCUCUGCCUGCUCUGACUCUGACUGCAGUGUAUGCAGUGACAGGGUACAUUUUGUGGCUGCUGACAGUGAUAGCGUCAAGGGUAGAUGAAGUCAUCGCUGGUCAUCAGGAUAGGAGGGCAUGUGCACCCGAGGGUGGCAUUGCUUAAGAUGGUUUUUCGAAAGCAAAAGAAAUGUCUUCCUCAUUGGCCAGCCAUUUAAAAAUGUAUAAAGCACACUGUGACUGCUGUGAUGGAGUGAUGAUUUCUAUGAUCUGUUUGUGGAUGGAUGGAUGGAUGGAUUGGGAGCCGUCUUUAAACUAUUUUCAUCCAUUACAUCAUGCCAUUGAAAAGGCCAAAACUUUAAGUUGCAGCUGCUUUUAUGCUGAGCGUGUUUUUCAGACAAAAACUGAACGUGUAAAAAAAAAAAAAAGUGUCAUUCAAAAGUCUUCCUGCACAUCCAAUAGACAUGUAACAAUUAGUGUUCAUUUGAAGUCUUAUUUUUUGGUUAUCUGACAAAGGGAGGACUAAAAUUUUAUCUCCCCAUAGCUUUUUCAGUUUUUUACUAUUUCUGACAAUCUGAUAAUAACAAAUUUCCAAAUGAUCAGCACUAAAGAAAAGACACAAACAAAAAAUAUCUUGUAUGUUUUGGUUUUGUUUGCCAGCAUAAAGAUGAGUGUGAGAGAUUAAUAAAGUGAUUACGCCGAUGGAAACCUGCUGACUGCUGGGCCUGUAGUCUUAUGAGCUGGAUCAGCACUGAAUAUACAAGGUAGAUGACAGAAUCGACUUUCCACUUUGGCCAAAGUUAGUGAGAUUUUUGAGUGGUAACAGUGUCAUGAUUAUAAAGAACGCAUUCAAAUGUUUCAAAAUAAUAAAGGUGUGAGUCAGUUUCUUUGAUAAUGAUUGAAACCCCUCUAUAAUCACCUCAUGAUCUUGGCUAACGAUCUUUUUCUUCUUUGGCUGAAUCCCUCACGUCUCGUCAACCUGCCUUUCCAAAUGAAAGAUAAUAAAAUGGUAUAUUCCUGUGCAGAUUACACCCUUCCUGUCCAUUCAGCUGCUCUGCUGUUGAUCCAUGCUGGCAUUUCUCUGCAGGCGUUCAUAGGGCCAGCUGUCGCUGACAAAGUAGGACCCUUCAGCUACAAUAUCCAGAGGAGACAAGAGACCAAAAAAAGGUUUGUUUGCAGUCUUCUCUCUCUCUCCAAGGCGUUUGCUUUGUAUGCCCCCAUUCAAGGUCACUGGCUGUUUGCAUUCUGAAGUUCUGUUGUGUUCUCAAGUCAGAACAUAUUAUUCACAUUAUGGGUGUGACAGACAGUGAUGUUGGCAACCCAUGAAAAUAGCUGGAAUCCCAGAACUCCUGGGUACAGGUGAUUUUUAUUAUAGUUUUCUUUUCUUUUAUUUUCAGAUAAAUAAAAUAAAACAUUGGCUGUAAACUAACCCGCCAGCAACUUCUUCUAUUUGUGGCAUCCUUACCUCCUUAAGAGUGUUGCUUUUUUUUUUUUUCCUGACACGGAUGAUGACGUACACAAGACAAUAAAAGACUUUAUUUUUAGCAGCUUCUGUUCAGUGGAGCCUCUAACUAUCGUUAACUUGUUUAAUGAAUUUAAUAUCUUUCAAGUGAUAGCUGUGGUGGUUAACUGUAUGAGGCCAAAAGUUCAUCACUUCUCCUUCAUCAACGGUAUCUCUGGAUCAGCUGCUGGGACUGACUAAUCUGUUUUGGCACAACAAGGCUAAUUAGCUCACUCCCAAAGAGCAAACCAGCUCAUUUUCUACUCUGGGCAGACUAUUUCAGUGAUGAAAGUAUUGCUUUGAAGGGGCAAGUCUGACCACUGUACUUUGUCAUGUCAGACAGAAGGGGAAUUUCAGUACUGUUCCACUCAUGUGUUAUUAAGGAUCUUAAAUGGUAAAGCUUUAGCACUUGCUCAAUAUGUUUACUAUCAGAUUUUAUGGUUUUAGAUGUGAACAGAAGUACUUAUCAAUCUUAACCUAACCUUGACCACGCCCAGCAGAGAAACACCAAACACAAUCAAGAUCAGGAAACAGAGCCAGAGAUUCCCAAAGGGCCAACCCCUCUUGGUUAUGAUAAACAGGCACAGAGGGGAUGACUCAUUCAUAAGAUGGACUGGAUAUUACUUUGCUCAUUCAGAAUUAGCCCAGUCUUUCACACAGACCUGGGUAAGCAGUCUCAUAUCCACCCUGCCCAUGCAUUUUCCUCUAGUGAGUAAAAAGGCUGCAGCUGGAGGGGGACUUAAAAGAAGGCCAGCAGGUGCCCUGAACAGGGUUGCCAACUCCCUGAAAAAAUAAUAAGGGGCACCUCACUGGCAGAGCCAGCCAACCUGAUUGCCUUCACCCUUCCUGGCUUGGGGAAUUUUUAAACCCUUUUUUUUUGUGUGUGAGUCGAUUUCUCCACCAUUCAGAGUGGGAUGGUGAAGACAAAACAUAUCAAAUGACUUUUUGUUAUAUGAACACAGGGAAAAGAAAUAAUUAUUUAGCAUUUUAUUUUUUGUGCAUACCAAGAUAAACAGAAUAAAAACAAAAGCGUUCCUAAACAGAAACCUGUCCUGUUUAAAUUCAUUGAAUAAAAAUAAAUCUUUACCAGAACUCUGUCUGGCUUAAACUAAACUAUUUGUGUGUGCUGUCGGCACACACAAAUAGAUUUACCAUAAUAGAUUUACCAUAUUUUUUUUACAUAAAUCGCCCUGUUGUUCAUUAAAUCCAUUGACAUUAUACAGGUUAUUUUUGAUUGUCAUGAUAAGGGACAAAGUGCGUCCCUUUUCAGGUCAAUACGGGACGUGUACUUUUGUUUCUAAAUGCGGGACCAUUCUGUUUUUCAAGGGGCGGUUGGAAACCCUAGCCCUGGAUAACGCUUAGGAGGGGGCAGCUGUGGCUCAGGGGUUGGGGGCUGGGUGUUAAAGUACCUGUAGUUGGAGUUCGGAUAGAAGGCCUCAAAAGCUGAUGAUGGAUGGACUCCAAAUGGUGUUUAAAAGUAACUGUACCCUUAGACAGGGUUAGGCCCAAACGUGUCAGUCUCUACUCCUUAGAGUUCACUAAGUUCAUUAACACGACUUUAACCCAAAAGUGUACAGAGGCGAACAAAGUAAAACUCUUGUGAACUUCCUCUCAGUUCACUGGUAUGAAUCAUCAUUGUGCUAUAUAAGAUAAUGAUUCAGAGAAACAAAACACACAUCUUUUUGUGAAUUUAUCACAGAUUUUGCCUUUGAGCUAAACGCAGGCAGAGCAGAUAAGAGGACCUCCUCAUGUGAGAUGGUCUGCCAGGGGGAGGAAACACAACUCUUCCAUUAAGGAGGAAAUUCAGCUGAAGAAGAAACGCUUCAUUGAGUUCUCAAGAAAAGCAGAUGAAUACAGAAGGAUAAUAAGGGCGAAUGUCUGCCGAAUAUUCCAGUGUUUUAACAAAGACUUACUCUGUGGGUUUCCAUGAUGAGGACAAUAAAAGGAGAAACAUUCACAUCAUGAACCGGGGCCCUAAUGUUACUAUAGGCAGUUAUAGGCUGUGGGGUGGGGUCUGGGGGCAUUGUUCAAAAUGCGAUAGGUAGCUUUUAAUUGUAAUAGGUAGGUGAGGUCUUUUUAAGUAAUGUUUGACAUUUUGGUAAAUUUUUCUUUGGUUUCCUUUUGGUUGCUUCUUGCUGUCUGAAGACAGCAACAUGCCACCAAUAAAUCUAAUCACACCAUUUUCAGACCACCAUGCAAAGCCUAUGGAAGCACAAAUUUGCUCACAUUGUGGAUGAUGGGCAUUUGUCUUUAUAAUUCUAAAAGUUGAUGCCUGUGUGUUCUUUGAAAGAUCCUAAAGGUCUAAUUCUCUCUUCUCUUGCUCAUCCUUAGCUUCUUCAUAAAUCCCCCUUGACUCUCAGUCCUCAUACUGUAAAAUCCCUCUCAUUUUAAAUGACAAUAGGCAUCAAGCAGAAACGUCACACUGUUCACUUGCCUUAAAACCCUCGUUUGAGACAGAUAUGUAGAGUGCUGAGCCAUGACCUAAAUGAAUACAAAGAGAAUAGUGGGUUGGAGCAGAGAGAAAAGAGGAGUGAAGAACCAUGGCUACCAUUUUCAUUCGUCCUACCACGACUAAACCAUUGUCCUGUUAGUCGCAGUCAUUUUGUUCGCAGCCAAACAUAAUAGGUGGUUAUACAAACUAGAAUGCAGACAGGGUGAGCGGAGCCCUGAUGCAGGCAGAGGGGCCUUGUUUCAUUAUACAUUAUCCUGGUUAUUAUACUGAUUAUACCGAUAAACAGGUUGAAACAAAAUAUUGAUUUAAAGAAGGUUUUAUUUAUUUGAAAUUUAUUUGUUUAGACAGCUAAAAUACAUUGUCCCUUAGGCUCACCAGCUGGUAACAUUAGAGAGGAUAAAUGGGAAGUCUGUAGGAAUAGCCUAUUCAUGGUUAUAUUUCUGUUCCCAUUCAGCUGUCCUUCUUCUUGAAGCUUUGCAGUUGACACGCCUUUCUGAAUAGCCCUGCUUUAUGACAAAAAUAAACACGUUAAAAGCUUAGUUCAAAAAAUGGAUUUCGUCAGAAUAAGUUUUUUUCUGUUUUUUUUUUUUUCAUGAGGCUGAAUGUUUUGAAAGUAUUAAGAUUACAAAUUUUGUACUAAAGAAGCACAGCUAAUUUGGCAGGGACUCCAAAGUUGUUUAAAAGGAGGCUGAAGGCCAACCUCAAAUCUGCCUUUUUAUCUCAAGUAAAGGCUGACUGAAGGUUAAGUCAAAUCAGCAUGACACCAUCCAAUUGGCUUCAAAAUUCCUGUAGUUGAUGUCACUAAGACUACGUCUAUGUUUUGUACAGCUCGUGACCACAACUCCUGAGCUCCUGAGAUGAGUUUUUAGCUGGUGAUUAAACAGACUGAAAUGACUCUAAUAUCGCUCCAUGGGCUGCAAAAAGCAAAACAGAACAUCAUCAUGAAGACUGAAUAAUAGUCAUUUUUAAUUUCAGCAAUCACUGGUGGGGUAGAUGUCAGUCCAAGGGCCUGAUCUUCUAAAAUCCCAAAUAAGGGGUUCUAAAUUGUGGUGCAGACCAAAAAUGUGCAUGUGCUAUUGGUGGGCAUGUUGCGGGUAAUCUACUAUCAUUGUGUGCGCAAUUGAUAACAGGUGCAAAAGGGGUGCAGAAAACCCUCUUUUAACAAGGUUUUUGUGUGCACUGUCAGCUGUCGCCAUGGAAAGUUUGCAGAGUGAUGGUAGGUGAAAAAUGAAGUUUGAGUUGCACCUAGAUGCAAGAAACCUGGAAAUACAUGCCCAUCCUGCGUGACACAGCAUUUAACACUUGGGACAGCACACUUGAAAAACUACUCUGGGAGACGCUCUAACUGGGAUGGUGCGCUGGAAUGAUCCAGACGCAGGAAAAUGCAGUGUUGCAAGGAGUUUUUCAACAGGAGAUAUGGCAUGGAUCAUUUUUGUGACUGGCUCCAAAUCAGCCCUUAGGUCACCCAGCAGCACAAAAAUGGCCUUACUAUUACUCUACUAUUUUUAUCACUGACUGUCCAAAUAUGUUGACACACGUACCGAAGACUCUCUCUCUGUCAUCUAUCAUUGCACUUUUGCCUCCCUUUCAACACAAUGACUGCAGCCAUUUGUGCGUUACACUGCCAGUUUGCAUGUGGCUUUCAAACAUGCGAAAUAUAGAUGCAAAAACAGCGAUCACAAUCGCAUUGUGGGUGCUAAAUGAUUCUAUCUGCAUCUGCUCCUAGAGUAUUUUACACGUCCUGAUGAUCUACAUACAGUCUGCAUAUUCAUGAAGGCAAACACACUAAAUCGAUUGCGCAUGCUGUUUUGCUCAUUUGACAGACACAAUCCUCGGUGCACCCAGUUAGUAGAUCAGCUUUGCGUGCGCUAUCAAGUUUGUAUGCGCAAACCUUGAGCAAAUCAGGCCCUAAGUGAUUUAUGGCUUUGUACUUUUCAUUGGGGAGUUUAUGAUGAUGUAUACCUUUGACAAAUAAAGUAAAGAAUGACAGGAUGUAUCAAUAAGGAAAAAGCGUACACAUGUACACAACAAAAUCAUUAAAUACUAAGACAUUACAUUUUGUCCUCAGGGGUGCCAGAAUAGACCAAACUUAAAGUUCCUUCGAAGAGCUUUGAGUUACUUGACAACUAUUCAAAACUUGGAGAUGUGUACUCAUCAGCUCUGCUGCCAUAUCCUGGAUUGCAGGACAAAAUCUUGCUCCACUUCUCCCCAACAGAAAUGGUUGACUUCAUAUGACGUGUGUGAUUCCUGGCAUUCAUUUUGCCAUUGAGAAGGUUGAUUACUAUAUAUUAUUAGCAGGCUUUGAUUAAUCAGUAUCAGGUAUAUAACACAGCCUGAUAAUGUGGAGGUAAUUGUAUUUUUCCUUGGCUUUUCAUGGCUUCUACAAAUAGCUCAACAGUGUCACAGUGUUCCCUGUGGUUUCACAGCUCUUUAACCCAGCAUGCACCUGCUCGGUGUGGAAUUAUGUACAUAGUAGUGGGUGAGUUAUAUUCAGGUCCUUCUGCUAACUUACUUAUAGGGGAGUGAUAAAUAAAUAUUAAAUGUGCUCCUCUAACUGAUUACAGCUGAUAACCAGUUUAUUUUAAGACUCAUGACAACUGUGUAUAAGCAAGUUAUUUCUAAGUUUGUAUCAUAGACUGUAUAUAUUAUGGACAACUUGGCUACGCCUUCUGUCAGUAUAUGAAUUUAAAGCUGAAUUGCUCUCGGUAUUUCUGGGAUUUUCUCCACUUCCUAGAACCACCACUUGUGUAGCAGCAUUGUAUGCAUUUAGCAGGAGAGUUGCUGUGAUGACGCUUGGCUCAAACAGGGCAUCCCCUGGGUGAGAUAGGAAAUCUUCAUACACCCAUAGGCUGUAUCAAGUGUCAAUCAUAGAAAACAAGAACCCCCUAAUAACUUUUGAAAAUGAAGCUGCACAGAAAAAAGAGGACUUGAGCACAACCAGCCCUACAGUAAUUACAUGUCAACAUCGUAACUAGGGUAGAGUAAAAUGUAUAUUCUGUGUAAUUAAUUUCUAAAGUUUGUCAACGGCUCCGUAGGAAUUGCUGGAGGAGGCGAGAUUUAUGACCUGUACUGCAGCCAACUACCAGAGGGUGCUGUUCUUGCAGAGGCCGUACCUAGCGAGGGGGCAGACAGCAUCCAUUCUAUAUACAGUCCAUGGUUGGUAUGCAUUAUUCUUUCCCUCUUCCCUUCACAUCUUUAAUUUGAUUUUAAGCCUUCAUUCCACUAAAAGGAGUGGGGUUUUUUUGGAAAAGGAAGCAAGUUCUUUUGUUUCAUUUAAGCCAGUCAAUUGAGAAACACAGGGUGUUGAAUAUCACAGGCUGACACAAAUCUAAAACACAAUCCACAGCUGUUAUAUCUGAUGUAUUAUAGGCUGCAUGCCAUAUUGAUGAACAGUAAACAUGAGCAAAUUAUUGCAUCAAGUAUUCCCUUUGAUGCUUUGUUGUACUAUUCAGUUGUUAUGUGUGAUCUCAUUUAAGCCUGUGUACAUUGAGUACUGGAGGCGGUUCAGCAGUGAUGCAAUCAAACAGUGAAAUGGUUAUUUUGUUUUGAUGCAAACAAGCAUGCCAGUAAAUUACAUGCACUGAUUUGGAGCCUCAUUAAAAUAUGUGUAUGUCGUUACAGCUAUUUGUCCCCACAUGCAAAUACACAUCAUCAUGCUGCACACACAUAAAUAUUUAUUUCAUUAAAUGAUGAGUUUUCUUCUGACACAAACAUGUUGGUGUUGUUGAAACUCUGUUUUAGUGUCAUGGCCACACGCCUACACACACUUGUAUACAUACUCAACAUACAAGAUUCUAUGUACAAUAUGUUACAAUGUAGUAUAACAAACAAGCACUCAUUGAGUCAUUUGUUGAAAACAGUUUCAGAGCAGUUUGUGAUCCCGCUGUUGGUGAUUAUGCUCAAAAAUGCUGGAUGGUGUGAUACAGUAAUGAAUACACAGCACUUUACUACAAGAAAAAAAGGCCCCUGAUGAGAUAAAACGAUUUUGGCACUGUGUGGCUCAGAGUCACCUUCAGAUUCUAGCUCGCAAAUGAUUGUCUCCUUUUCCAAGUUAAUUAACUUACAAUUUUAAGAGCUGACGUUCCUGCAUAGUGCAAACCAGGAGGUAUUAGUUGUGAUGCAUGAUUGUUGGAAACAAAAACCUGAUAUCAGUGAGGCACUCUAUGAGGGGCUAUUAUGCUUCCAUUAUAUGUACUUCAACUUACAUCAUCAAGAUAUAGGGCUCUAUUUUCGUGUACGCCGAUGAGGCGGUGGAGGGUGGCGGACCCCGCGCAGUUGUAUUUUCGUCUGGCGGAGCCCGGCGUACAGCCAGUUUGGUAUUUUCGUGGACUGAGGCGCACGGAGGCGAACCGAGAUCCGGCAAGCUGGGCGUGGUGGUGUGGCAGGGGGAGGUGUUGACAGAAUCAGCGGGUGCAGUGACAUUUUCAUGCUCGCCACCGGCGUGUAAAGUGCGCUGAAAGCUCGCCGAUUCAAACCUGGUCAGCUUUCAGCGCAGGCGAAGCGCAGCUGGUCUAGUGGUAUUUUGGUAGACCGGCGGCGUAUCGACAUAUGUCACUGAUGCCUCACAGGCAGGUUUCCACAGUGUCAGGCAGAUUUCAGUGCAAUAAAUAAUCAUCAACAACUAAUAAUCUGAGUCAGCACAUACAUUUAGAUCUAUAUCGAUAUAUUCUGAUCUAUAUCUGAUCUGAUGAGCAUGUUUGGCACGCGUUUGGACACAACCUGACCGAAUCAACACAGCUGAAACCGCGUUAAAUUAAAUUAAAUUAAAUAUCUAGUAAAUAAACACACAUGAUGAAGUUAACAAGAUAUUUAAUUUGUCUCCCUCCUUUUCUUUCUUCCUCUUCCUCUUAUUUCUCACGCAGCUUGACCUGGACACGUCUCCGUGUCCUCUGUCCGUCCUACUGCAGCUGCUGCUGCAGCGGCUGAACAGAUGAUUUGUUUCAGUGAUCAGAUGAGUUAUUUACUUGUAGCCUACAUACGAAUAUUAUAAUAUUCAGUUUUGUGGGCCAAAUUUAUUUUAUAUGCCAACAUCUAUGAAAGAAAGAGCCAGUCCACGGAGCGCGAUGCGUCAUUUACGCACAGAUGGUUCCAAUUUUAAUGCCAUUUUUGGAGUUUAUGUUGUGAUCUGUGCGCUCAACCCACCUUUGUCACGUGAGGUUUGAAUAUAUGCAACUUUGUGUGAGUGUCUUUAUUAGUGGAAAAGGGUGUUUUUACCAGUGGGUCCAACAUUACACACACCAAAUACAUCUGUGCUCAUAUGAGAGUGUGGAGGACGCCCUCUGCAGCGCUUACAGUGAAACUUGUUGAGGAGCUGCCUUCUGUUGCCAUCAUGUGGCAUUACUGUCUUCAGACAUCUCUUGAUCUCUUUGACUACUUCACAAAAAUAGUAAUAAGCCUCGCCGGUGGCGGAUUUAAAGGCAAGGAGAGGAGCUGAUGUUAUUGGUAAAAACAGGUCUUGGCUGUGUUAAACCCACUCCACAUCCUCUCUCCUCCUUCCCUACAACUAACGCCGCUGGGAGGAGCUGAGUUAGGAAGGGGGGAUACUUAUGCCAGGAUGCGCCGCUCACCAAAAUACCAAAUUGUGCUUGGGAACGCCUUGUCGGCGCGGUAGACCUGACUUAUGCUGCGCCUGCGGCACGUCUCCGGCGAGGCAUGAAAAUAGAGCCCAUAGUGUCAGUGUUUGUCUCUGUGUGUAGAGUGCAAACUUUUCUCAAGGAGAGUUCUUGAGUGGUACACCAAAGAACUCAAAGGCUUCCUUUCUUAACUUCAUUUGAUGAUAAAUGACUUUAAGGUAAGUAAAGGUAUGACUUAAAACAAACCCCCCUCAAAAUGAGAAAAUUCUACCCUCUCCUUCUCUUGCUUGUUACACCUUUAAGAAAAUGUCUGCUCAAACGGGUGGAUUGAAAUUAUCUGCUUCCAUGAUGUCAUUGACGGCAAUAACUCCUCCCCUCCAGGUUGUUGACCCUGCCCAAGAUGUCCCCUACCCACACACCCCCAAAAAUUUCCACUCAGACACUAUUUUUCUCCCUCGCAAAAGCUGGUUCAAAAUGGUGAAGAUACAAGCAAGGCACAGCAGUUGCUCUGAUGUUGGCUGCACGAAGCAGCACAGAAGUCUGUGUCCAUAGGAUGCAAGAACAUAGUCAUGAGAGAGAACUAUACUUACAAUAUUGCGCAUUCACCAAAAGAGCUCCAAGUAACAAGAAGAUAGCAGUGUUGUAACUGUUGGCAGGAGCUAAUGUUUCCUAGCUACAAGUAAGUCAAUGUGUACCAACACACAAAGUAAAUAGAAAAAUAUGGAGACACAUAAUAUUUGUAACUAACCAUUCAGAAACGUCCUGCUGCAGCCACAGAGUUGGAAUUUCGUCAGGAGUCCUCUGGGUUGGAUCAAACUGGUACAGCUGGACCACAACUCUUCUAUGAGCCAUACUGAGCUCUCUGUGUUAACAUUAGCGCAUGGUACCGUAGAGCAAGCCACGCCCCCCUCUUCCAGAGAGACAUGGUGGGGCGUGACUUGCGCUUAAGGAGGCGUGGACAGGCGCAGCACGGAAACUGUGUGUUCUCGGUUGAACUCACUAGAGAGAGUUUUCAGGCUGGCUGAGGUGUCCAGGAAAAAACUGGGUUUUUAGACAACAAACUUCAAAUUAAUUGUUCUAGGACCUCUGAGACCUAUGUGAACCUGCUGAAAAAGAGUGUAAUACAGGACCUUUAAAGGUUGUAGCAGCUUGUUAAAAGCUAUAAAACAAUAAUUAUUAAAGCGCUCCUCAGAAGCAUUUGUAUGUUAAGCGAGGUGUUUUCCAGAUCAGCAAAUGCCAGCACACUGAUCCUGAUAUCCAGAAAAAAUAAAUGCUACACUGUAUAUCACAGAUCAAAAAUUCUGUUCAUGUCUGCAAAAGUUUCUACAGAUGCUUUUUGCCUAAUGUGUAUAUUUUGCAUUUCUGUAAGAAAAGGGUGUAAAUCUGUAUAGGGACCCAGAGAGCCCAUCAUACUACCUGACCAUAGAGGGAAUAGGAUGGCUUAUUGUAGUGGUGAAGGGUGAGUAAAUAGCUUUAGGACUAUAAAUACUAAAGAAAAGCCAACACAGGAGUUCAACUUCACAAAUAUGUAUUCAGCUGCACUUUUCCUCAAAACCAUCCAUCUGCAAUGACAUAGAAACAGCACAAAUUCACUACUACUAUAAUAAGCUAAAUAGGAUGAAUCCAUUCAAAACAUUUCUAGCCGUGAAAUUUCUAUAGUGUGUUUGUGUCUUUUCCAGGCAGAGGAAUAAAAACCCAUCUUAGUCUGUCCGCCGGAAAGAUUACUACUGAAAAGCCUGCAGUCUGAGGAAGUGAGCGAUUUUAAAUGUAAGCCACUGCUCACACCAGUCUAUUUUUAACCUUGAUAUAUAACCACAGUAUUUUAAAAUCAUUAACAACAGCAACAUUUGUUGUCAGCAUAUGCAAGAAUAAAAACCUUUUCCACUAACAAGAAAAGUUAAGUAUUUGUGUUGUGUCUCUCAGAUGGCCUUGCAUGGAUGCAGUGUUUGCUUUAUCCCACGAAACAUGUUUUGCCUCCUUUCACGACUGCCGUGACAACCAGAGCAUGAGAAAGAGAGAGAGGGGACUUUUCUGGUGUUUAAAUCCUCCCAAAUUAAUUCAAAACCAAAAUGAAACCUCCUGUACUCGCCCCCUCCCUCUGUGUGUAAAUCUGAUGAGAGUAAAGACCUUGAGUUCCACUUGAUUCUCCUCACUAAUCUUCUGUCGUCACCUUUUGUUGCCUCUGAGCAUCCCACUGUGAAAUCCAAGGGUGUUUCUGUGUGCCUUGUUGGUGCGUCUUCAGGAUUGAUAGAACUACAUUGUUUGUGUGCGUGUUUAAUUUAAUGACAUUUAGAAGAAAACAGAGUAGGGAUAACACAUGCAGAAAAAUAAGAGAACAAGAGGUGAUAAGGUGAUCCGGCCGCCAUGGUAACAGUUUCCAUGACAGCAGGAGGGAUAGAAACUAAAGCUGGAAGCUUGGAGAUCCCUGUUGGGAUUGGAGAAACCCUCCCUGAGGUUAUCUGUCUUUGCCUCCCUGUCGGUCCCGCCAGGGGACUGAACCUUAUCCAACCCCUUCCCCUCCCCCGGGUGCUCCAGAUAAUGAGUAGUUGUCAAGGUCACCAAUCCUCCUGACCAAUCAGGUUACUUCUGUGUAGCUUCUUCUACUGGGCUCUUUGCAAUUUGACCUCCAUAUUGCUUAGGGCAGCCAGCUUGCUGCUGCUGCUGUUGCUGUGAUCUCCCCCGGUGACAUAAAAAGUCAGGUCCUGAAUUGAAACCUGCUGUCAGUGUAACUUGAGGUGAUCAGAUGUUAAAAAAACUUAACAGACCUUAACAUACAAUCAAUCAAACCAAUCAACUACAUGUUUGAAAACAAAAUCAGAAAUCCACCGAUGAAAUCAUCCUUUUAAAACUCACAUUUAAUGUGAUGAUAUGUUAUCGAUACUUAACACCCUUGUUAGACCUAUGGGUAUCUUCUCUGAAAUGUAGAGUGUAUUGACAUCAACACAUCAAAUAAGCAAAGCGCAAUCAAUUAUCAAAGGUCAAUGCUGUAUCUUGUGGACACAGAACUAUACUGAUGUGAAUAAAUAUCACAGCGUCAUUUAAAGGACUGAGGACAAAACCUCGAAAAAUGAGGUUAUUCUGAGAAAACUGAACAAAUAUUUCAAAUUAUGAUCAAAGUUUCACAGAACUUAAGUUUUUCAUUCUCCUCAGUUUACAAAUAAUGUACAAGCACUGUCCUCUAUAGGUGGAACAAUACUUUCUUCACUUGCCACACUCUAAUUAGCCAUAGGUAAUACUUUGACUCCAUUUUAACUCUGCUUUGCAUAUCAGUUCAUGCAAAUGGGAAGAUUAUCUAGACUUAAUGUUCGAAGGAGCACAGCAUUGUGUUAAAAGCCAUAAUCUUUAUUUGAGUUUAAAUUAAAUUUUCACAGUUUUACUGCACAUGGAUACUGAGUCUCCACCUCCUCCUGUUGUGCUAAAUUGAAGCCAAAUACCCUACUGAUAUAAUGUGCAAGCAAGGUUUUUAUUGCCCUGGACUGUGCAGUAGAAUUUGUAAAUUUAAUAAACUAGUAUAAUGACAAAGAUCCUUCAAGUUGGUUCAGUCUACAGCAGAAAAGAUACUUUUGGCAGUUUUAAGAUGAGAUUUGUAGCCCUCAAAAGUCCAGUGUCUCUUGGUGUCAUGUGCAUUGCAUUUUCCCUUUGCCAUCUCCUAAACUCUGCUUAUACAGCACCCAUAGUGCCAAAAGGAGCCUGACUAUUUAUCAAGAGAGCUGUUAGUCAUGGUAUUAUAUCCAUCUUUGCAUCUAACAGGUAUUUAAAACUAAAUUCCUUAAAAAAGUUAACAACUGGACAUAAAUCACUAUCAUGAACAUAAAAGUAGGCUCUACAACCUAUGCUGUAGAAAGCCAGUAUGAGGAACUCCUUUUGGCAUCAGUUUUGGGGAGUCGUCAUUUCAUCAAUACAAUUUAUGAAUCUCACUCAAGGUAAAGUCUUUCUCCUCUUUUUUUAUACUAUUCCUCUAUUUUAUACCAUAUAACAUUUUGCAAGUCUUCAAAAACAGUAUAUCAAGACACAAGGACAAAAAAAACUUGUUGCGAUGCUGAGCCCAGUAAUUACUCAACUAAACCUUUCUGAGUUGCAUUUUGGACACAAAUGUGAUUCCACUGAAAUGUCACUGCAGUUCAGAGGUCUGACCACAAUAAUCAUACCUCUGAGCAAUCAAGGAGCCAUGUUUUCAGACAGACAAAUCAACCUUGAUGAUUGUUUCUUGGUUGAUUAAGCACAUCAAAUCAUUCUUAAAUGUAUUACAUGGCUUAAUGUGCUUUUAUUAGACAGCUGGCUGCAGAAGGAUGACAGAUCUUGAGUAAAACCCUGGGGUAAUUGCUUCUGGCAUCUGAUGUCAUAUAAAUUGGGCUGUCUUUAACACCUCCAGAUUAUUUUUUACCUCAUUAUUAUUGUAAGAAGCCUCUUCAGCUCUGGUUAUUUCUACAAAUGAAUCCUGCAUCCCUCCACUGGGACAUGGAGGUUUAGGCUUGUGAUCCUCAUCUAUGUGCUGGAUUAGUCCAGGUAUUAUAUUCGCUCCUUCCAAUGGAUUCCUUAGGGCCAAAGGCUAUCCUAAUGAUCUGUUCUAUUCAAUGUAGGUGGUCAAUAACAGACAAGUCUUAAGACUUUAUGUCCAACAUCAUCUGAAGGUGAACUUGAGGUGAGUAUCAAAGGGAUAUUUCAGCAUAAAUUUAAGUUAUGAUCAAACACAUCAUAUCAAACACAUCAGGUAGACCCCCCCCCCCCCGAUGAGUCCAUCGAGUGCAGCGGAUCAUUUCCUUGAAGUAAUAAUCAUCAUAAUAAUCAUUUUGCACUGUAGACACAGUAGUAGUUCUUCUGCGUCUUCCGUGGCGUCUCAGUCUGAUCGCAUUUCCAUGAAGUAAUGAUCAUAAAUGUUCUUCUAAGCUGCGAAACUCCGCUGCACUCAGUGAUUGACUCGUCAGGGCUCCCCCACAAACAAGCGGCUGCUGGAGGACAGUGGGUGCUAAAGAAACCAGACAAAGCUAAAAAGAUGUUUGAUGGCUAGUACUAUGGCUGGGACCCUAUAUGUACUGUUGAUGAAGUUGGGUGCUGUUCUGAGCAUUAUUUGUGGAGGCAUAGACCUCUGUGUAUUGCUAUUGUGUGGUCGUUACUAAAGUUGGUAUAACUAGAGAAUCAAGCAGUUGGCAACAUUCAUCUCUCGAAGGGGUGUCUAACUUGGAGUUACAGUGUGUUUGACCAAAACUUAUAUUUACACUAGAACAUUCCUUUAAGAAAGUUUUGAACAUAUGUAUGUAUUAUACACCAAAAGUGGAACUGCCAUCAACACUCCUUGUGUAUGGCGAUUACAACUUGAGAUACCUGUGACAAUGUUGUGAAUGGCCUUGUGCAGGACCAAAGAAGCUUUUUAUGGUAGAAGGUAACUGUAACUGUAAAAAAAAAUAGCCCCUCUAAAUAACUGAACCUUUCAAGGCACAAACCAUACCUCUGCAGUGCACCAGGUUAAAUCCAGCUUUAUAUAAUCCCUUUGAUUCUCAUUUCUCUGUAUAACAGCCAAUAAAGCAAACUCAUCAUAAAAAAAAAAUCCACUAUAAAGUGUGUAGAACAGAGACCAUUAAUUUGCUUUGUGUAGUGUCUCUGUUGAUUACUUUCCUGUUCCUCCUCUAACCAAACCAAGUGGAUAAUCUUUCACACAUGAGUGCUUUAAUUUAAUUGCAUUAUUUCAGAAUCUCUCUAUAGUGCUGUUAUAUUAGUAUGGUAUGAUUGUAAUCAUUCAUUUUUCUGCUUCUUCUCCCAUGUGGAAACAAGUACAUUUGACCUUGAGAGGGUCCAUCCAAGAGAUUAGGGCCUGUUGCAGGUAUUAUUUGAGUGUGAGAGCACGUGUUACGCCAUCUGCUGGCCGUCUGUCUGUCUGUCUAUGGGUUUUCUCUUUUAGUCUUUUUCAGCCCUCUUCAAUCAAUCAGUCACUGAAGUCGUACAAACACCAAGCAUAUCCUUGUUUCUUUUUUUGUUAUGAAAUAAAGGACUUACCUUUCCUUGGUAGUGCAGCUUCCUUGUUGCACCGUGAUUUGACAGGUUAAAACUAGUGUAGCUGGGCCCCAAAAAAAUUUUAAACCAGUCAUAUAUGUGGUUGAUUGUGUGUGAAAAAGGGGCCUACCUACUCAGUGUAAACCAACCCGACUUACAGGUAAAGUAACCUAAAUCUAAGCAGACAAGCUAAGGAGGUCAGCUACUUUGAGGGCCAACACUUAAACCUUUGGCUUAGCACCAGAAGCACUACUUCUAUAACUCUGAUAUUAUUGAAUGAAUUGACCUUAUCGCAAAGUCCUGCCCCCCUAGUUACUGUUGCUAACUGGUUGCUAACUCAUCUCACAGUCGUCAUGAUUGCAGAUGACAACAUCCAAGACCAAUACUGUUCGUGUACUGCAGGGUAAGAUUAAAUUAAUUUACCUUAAGUAUUUAAACUAAUCUGGAGAGGCACUGAGCGUUACAGUCACUCAGCUAGUGUACUAACCUGAGCUAACAUUAGCCUUAUCUAGUUUACCAGAGGCGAAAGCUCUGUUACUACAUUGCUAAUGAUAGGUAAAUAACUGUCAGUAAAGUUAGUAAAGCUAUGUUGGUGUAAUUUACCUUAGAACAAAUGUAGACAUCCUUGUUGAUCUUCUGGAUGUUGAGUUGGCUGUGUGGUCAGCCACACAACUUAAUACAUAGCAGACACUUACUUCAACCUUUCUUUGGUUAGAAUACCUUGUGUUGGUAUUACAUCUAGAUCUGCAAACCUUUUUUUUUUUUUUCAAUUUUUUUUUUACCAUGUUUCUUUCUGUUACAUUAAAAUUAAUGCCAUAAAACAGAUGAAAAAUCACGACCUCUAAUGCUUCUCAAUGGAGCUGAAAGCUACAGAUGUCUGAGUUUCGGUCCCAGUGCAACUGAUACUAAACUCCCUUUGGCUCAUCUGCGUUCGAGGGGCGGGGCUUAGUGACAGAGGUCAAUUAGAUUCAGAGCUCUGUCACAAUAAGAAUUAUUUGCUCUGAGACUAUCCAACUAAUCAAGCCAGACUGACUGAGCUAACCAGAGCUAAAGGUCAACUUGAUUAACAAGCAAGAAGUUUACAUCGUGAUAGGUCCAGAUAGGGAAUGUGUUGAGAUGAGUAGCUCAUACAUCAGUGUCAAUGUACAUCAUCAUUAUAUAUCUACAGGGUAUGUAAGUGGCUUUAUAAAGAUAAGCUCACUAUGACCUUGAAAAUCUGUCACCACAUGUUUUCUUUUCAUCAAAAGAAAAAUACAAUCAGAAAAAACUCAAACUGUAACAGGAGAAAAAAAAACUUCUCACUAGGAAAAAAGUGGUUGGAACAUCAGGGGUAGAGCUAGAGGCAACUGUAACUAAUAACUGAGAGACCUUGAGGGGAUUGAAAAAUCAUCACUCGUCUUAUAUGAACUCUCAAGCAUGAAUUGAAUUGCAAAAUUGAAUUGAACUGAAAUGUUUUUUUCAAACAUUUAAAACAAGUUUUAUGUCUUAGUAGGGCAAGAAAACAAAAUAACAGUACCAGACUUUUAUCUGAUUUAAGAUCCAGAAACACAAACAGGACCACAAAUAGACUAUUGCAUUGAUGUAUAGUUGGCCUCCCUUUGACACUUUUACAUAAGAAACCUGCAGGAUGGAAAAGAGCAAAAUAGCACACCCACAGGCACACACAGACACACACACACUCUAAGCAGAUGAGUUUAGUGUACCAUUGUAAGACAGCAGACCUGCAGGGUGGAGAGGAAGAACUGGUGGUGUAACAAGGUUGAUAUCCUUAGAUCACAUCACCCAGUCAUGUUUAUGAAACUAGACACGGAAAGAUACUCACACACACACACAAACAUAUGCCAAAAUAUCUUAACAAUUUAGAGUUUUGCUAAAAGGAGUUAAAGACGCUCUUGAUAGUAAAAAAAAAUUCAUUCAAAAUCAUUUAUUGUUGAAAAAAAAGGCUUUAUGUUUAACAAUAAGAACGCCCAAUGGCGGAAAAUAAUAUGUUCCUCAGUGCUGUCACUCAGAGGGUUGAAAUUAAAUUGAUGGACUUACAGGAACAUAAUGAGAUUGAAGUAAAAACUGUGCUUUUACUCUGAUUUUAAGCUGAGGAGGGUCUUGUGGUGUGCAACAAUUUUUUCUACGUUGUGCGGAAGCUAGUUUUAUGUAUAUAUAUAUAUAUCAGUGGCGAUUGCUCUAAGACUGCAAGGGAAGCUCAGCUUCCCUUAAAAUGUCACCCCCCCAAAAAAAGAAAAAGUGGUGAAAUACGUACUGCUGUGUGUACAUUUCAUUAACUAAAUACGUACUAGAAAGCCUUCAUCUUUUGUUCAGACACUGUGAUAAGAAGCUGAUAAUCACAGGUAACCGGCAUAACUUUGUUCUCAUUCAUCCUCGCAGCGCCUCAGCACUUUAAACAGCCGGACGCUGGGCUUCUGCUGACUUCAAUGUGGAAGCUCAAAGUGGGUUGUUCCAGCAGCGAAACUAGACGCUCAUUGGAUAAAUGCUGGGCUUUGUCCCGCCCAAUGGAAGCUAAGCUUCACUGGAGUUCUAUGGCGAGAGGGCGGUCCCGACUUUCUCCCGGACUGCAAGCUUCUGCAUCCAUGAUUGGAUGAGCUGUCUGAGGCGAAAUCCUUUUUUGAUUGACAGCUAAACAAGCGAAUCAGCGAUCUUGAAGAAUAAAACAUCUACCAGAGCAUUUUCCAAGUCAUUCAUUCCGUUGUUCUUAACUGCUCCGGAGACUUUACCGAUCCUCAGCGACUUCUGUCUUUAUUAAAAACGACUGCCGUUGUGUUUGGCGACUCUGUUCUGUUACAUACUAAUAAACAAAUACAAUUAUGAUGUAGGCCAGAAAAAUGAGCUUCCCCUCAUUGAAAGACCAGCAGCCGCCACUGAUAUAUAUAUAUAUAUAUAUAUAUAUAUAUGUGUGUGUGUGUGUGUGUGUGUGUGUGUGUGCGUAUUUAUCAAAUCUCUCACUGCAGACUUUAACUGUCAAUAAUAUCACUCACUGUUAACCUUUGCCCUGAAAAAUGGAAGCAAAGGUUAAAGCCUCAACAGACACCUACCUUGUGGCUUUGUUUACAGGCAUAAAGAACACUAUAGUUAUGGUUCAUCAUCUCCCUGAUGGUCUUUAUAGAUCAUAAAAAGACAUCAGUACUAAUUAAAGUCUGCUUGAUAAUCAGCUAAAAACUCCUCACAGGACCUUUAAAGGUCCAUAGAGGAACUCUCAGUUUGUUUCAAUUUUGGUGUCUCCUGUAGACAAAUAACUCUUUGCUUAUCUUGUCCCCUGUUCCUCCAGAGUCACCAUUAUGUGUCAUUUAUUAUGACUACACUAAAAUAUGUGAAAAUUCACAGGGCUGUUUCUUCAGCUGCUCAGCUGACACUUAUUCCUCACACAGGUUUCACGCAUUAAAAAAUUACAAUAUUAAAAUCACCAAUCUUGUUUCUGACGUUCUUGAUGGCUUUUGUAUAUCAUAAAAAUGCAUCAAUGUGAAUUUUAGUCUAUUCCAUUGAGGUAAAAAAAAAAAGACCUUCUCACAAGAGGUUAACAGCUUGUUGAGUUCAGCUAAAUUUCUAGUAAGUAUAUACAAUGUCAGUUUUAACGUUUUCCUCUCCUCUAUUCAAGUAACACACCCUGCACCCAUCCUGCAGUGUAACACUAACGUCGUCAUAAACUUUACGUAGCAUGUUCAUAUUUAAUGAACAUUUGGCUGAUUAAACUUCUUACUUGAUGACCUGCCCUGCUACCAUAAUAAACCUUGAUUUUUCUCAUUCCCAAAAUUCAUCAAGGCCAUUUUCAGGGAUAACUUGAGCUGGGGACACAGGGACUGUCCCCCGAAAUUGGUGAUGUCUGGUCACCCUACAGUUCCUCGUUGCUAGCAAGAAACCUAGCCAGGUUGAGACUGAGAGCACUCAGAGGAUUUAUUGACCUCAAUCAGAUAUGUGUAGUUCAAGUGGUCCAUCGUCAGGUCAUUGUCGUGUUCUUCACGGCAUCGCAGUGUUUGCAGCAAACCUCGUCAUUUUUCUGCUCGAAAUGGUCCCACAUACACUUCGUCUUGCUGUCUUUGGGUUUUAUUUGACUUCUGCAUAAUCACUGCAUUGCUUCAAUACACACACUGACUGGACAGAGAGGGUAUCCCUCCUGAUUGGCAGAGGUUGGUCUUUGCUGAAAAGCAGGAUGGACGGAUGAACGCACGCUGUCUGCAUUUUUUUAAUAACAUUAGCUAGAUCAAAAUUUUGUGUGAUUGAUGUAACUCUUAACAAUCAAUUAAUCGAUCACUGAUUAAUCAUGCCCAUCCCUAGUUUAAAGACAGUGUACAGAGUGAUACAGCCAGCGUUCAUUAAAAAUGUGAGGAAACGAUGAUGAAACUUUAGAUAUGAAUUUUCAUGACACAGAAACAUUAUAUUUUUUCUUUUUAUUGUGGGGUUGGUUUUGCCUUGUGACUAAUCCAAUUUGUUUUUCAAAUUAAGAGGAUUCACACAUCACAGAUUGUGAUUUGCAUCCCAUCACUCUUUAACAAAGACAUAUUUAGCGGUAAGUUGUUUUAUAUAACAUGCCUCAUAUCUACUUACAUUUAAGUGUGAAGUAAGAUCUCAGUCCACUUUCACAGUUGUGCAGCUUUGUGAGGCUCCAAUUCAAUCUGACUACUUUGGAGAAGAAACAAGAAGGGUGUGUUGUGUUUCAUUUACUGCCAAAGUAGACAUUUGUGCAGCUCUCAGUUGGAUUCUCCCUGUGUGAUGUGUAACCUUUAUCUUUAACAGUUAAUCUGAUCCUCAAGAAAGGCACCAUCUAUCUGCUUCUGGAUAAUGAGGAAAUCAAACCCGAUUCUCACUGGAAUUUAUUUUACACUCUCAGCUUUCCACACAAUACACACACACAUUCCCAUCUUCUACACAAAAUCUCUCUCUUGCUCUUACACACACACAUACACAUACCAUACAGCCGACUCUGUGAUGGUGAUAAUGAGGGACACCUUCUCUCUGUCGGGUUCAUUUAUAUCUCUCACCAGUCCCUGGAAGUGUGAAUGUGUUUGUGUGUCUCCAGUGGAACUCCCCUCAAGCUUUUUCAUUCACCUGUUUCCCUUGUGAAUGACAUCAACCCCAUCCAAGAAGAGAGAGAAAGAAACAUAUUUAACAGAAAAUGUGAGAUCAUUUUUAACACGCUCUCUGUUCAUCUUUGUUGCUGUGGUGAAUCAGCAAGCCUCCCACACAGCAUCAAACAUCUCCCUCAUUCUUGUUUAGCAGGAAAAACAAUGGUGGGUUCUUUUAAAAAAAAGAAAGUCAGCCUUUCAGGAAUUUUUUUUUUAUACCUUUGUGAUAGUACUCUUUUUUUGUUUAAUCUGCAAAUAUAGGUACCAUUGACCUAUUUAUGUAAUCGAUCUUUCCUAACUGGCAUAUUUCCCAAUUGCAUGAAAACAGCAAAAGUUAUCCCAAUAUACAAAAAUGGAGAUAGACACCUAUUCACUAACUACAGACUCAUUUCCCUGCUCCCGCAGUUUUCAAAAAUUUUAGAAAAAUUAUUUGUACACCGACUUGACAACUUCACUGAAAAACAUAACAUUCUGUGCGAUCAACAGUAUGGUUUCAGAACAAACCGUUCAACAACAUUGGCAGUCAUGAACUUGACUGAACAGAUCUCCACAGCUAUCGAUACCAAAAAGUUUACAGCUGGUAUUUUCGUUGACCUUAGAAAGGCCUUUGAUACGAUCCAUCAUGGACUUCUAAUUACCAGAUUAGAGCAUUACGGUAUCCGAGGGGUUGCAAACUCAUGGUUAAAAAGUUACCUUGACAACAGAGAACAAUUUGUAGAAAUUAACAAUGUGAAAUCAAGUAGACAGAAAGUAAAUUGUGGAGUCCCUCAAGGAUCCGUUUUGGGGCCAAAACUGUUUAUUUUAUACAUCAAUGAUAUUUGCAAUGUGUCAAACCUUCUUAAUUAUGUCUUAUUUGCGGAUGAUACUAACUUGUUUUGUCAUGGGAAAGACCUGGAAGAGCUUCUGAAGACUAUUGAAGUGGAGUUGAACAAACUCAAAAUGUGGUUUGACCGGAACAAACUAUCCCUGAACAUAGGUAAGACAAAAUUCAUGAUAUUUGGGAACCGAAAGAUUGGAAAAGAAGUCACAUUAAGAAUAAAUAACAUCACUAUUGAAAGAGUUUACGAAUACAAAUUUCUCGGAGUAUUAAUUGACCACAAAUUAAACUGGAAACCUCACAUUGAUCUGGUAAAAAGGAAAAUGUCAAAAACCAUUGCCAUACUACAUAGAUCCAAGGAAAUCCUGAAUAAGAUCUCACUACAUAUAUCUCACUAUAUACUGUUCCCUUAUCAUCCCAUAUAUGACAUACUGUAUAGAGAUUUGAGGAAAUACCUAUAAAACAAAUGUCAAUCCUAUAUUUAUCCUACAAAAUAAGAAUAAGAAUAGUCAUGGGAGCAGAGUAUUGUGAGCCAACAAACGAUUUAUUCAUCAAACUUCAUACUCUUAAAUUCUUUGAUCUAGUUAAUCUCCAAACCUUAUUGAUUUUGUACAAAGCACAUAACAAGCUGCAGCCAUACAGUCUCCAGAAGCUGCUUGUAAUCAAAGAUACCAAAUAGGAACUUAGAAGCACAGGUAUGUUUACAAAAACACUAGUUAGGACUAAUACAAAACAACAUUGUGUAUCUGUAAAAGGUGUAAGUCUGUGGACAUGCUGCGAUAAGGAAUUGAGGAAGUGCAGUUCAAUCCACAUGUUUAAAAAAGCGUUCAAAAACAUGAUUAUAAAGUACAAGCAAGUUGAAGAAUCACUUUAGACCGACCUGAAAAAUUUUAGAGCGUGUCUGUAUCACCUAAUGGGUUUUGAAAAGUAUUUUGUUCUUGUUUAUUAUGUAUUUCUUUAUUUAAAAAUUUUUCUCUGUAUAGAAGAAAAGACAUGUAUAAAAAUGUCAUGAAAACUCUGUAUGUGGAAGGGGUAGGAGCAAUAGCUUCAGCCUACACCCUUUUUGGUCAAACCAAGUAAUUAACAGUAUUUAUUAUUUCUAACUCCCAUGUAUUAUGUAUGUAAUAUAACUGUUUACAUGAACAGAUGACCAAACUAAACUAAACUAAACUAAGCUAUGACCUUUAAUCUAUUUUUUACAUAAACUCUGGUCAAAUGGAUGUAUUCCAUUUAAAAAUAUAUACAUACAAUACUAACUAUCACUUCACUAUUGAAACAGUAUGGUGAAGCUUAAAAAGUGGGUGGAAGAAAAAUAUGAAGAAAGCACCAUUCUUCUUGUCUUUCCAAGCACUUAAUCACUCCGACAGAAGAGACUAAUUACUCUGCCUUACAGACAUAUAUGAAAACUCAAGUGACAAUUACAAAGAAAGGAAGAGGAUGAGAGCCCGCAUAGAGGAAAUAGAAAAGAUCUGCAAUAACAGCAGGCUAAAAGAAAAAAUGAGUGAGGAAAUAAUAUUUGUUUCUGCAAUCAUGUGCUCUGUCAAAGAAAUGAAACAGACUUGAUUACAAACUCGAUGAAUGGAUGUGGGUUCAAACUUGGCUUUUAAAAGGAGGAAACUGGAAUGAUGUGGCACACAGUGAAACCCUUUUACAGCUCGCAUGUUUCUGAUGACUUCCACAUUCUCAGUUAAAUGUGAGGUCUGCUGCUCCUCUUCAGAUGAGACAGCAUCUCAAGUUCUUGAACAAAAGGAGCUGUAGGAGAGCUCUGUCCAACAGAUUUUUAUUUUUUAACUCCUGAAACACAGAUUUUUUGUCACACUCUUGCUGACUUCUAGGGCUGUCUGGCCCUUUGCUUCCCUGGCAGGCAUACUCAUUUACAUUCUACCUGCCAAUUUCUACUUUUUGCCUGUCUGCCUACCCACCAUCUGUGUACUCCAAUGCUUUCUAUUGAAAGAGAAGAAGAAAUAACAUCAGUAAACAUGCCAUCCUCUACAAGUAUAAUGCAGCCUCUGUCUGCUUCUGCCAUUUCUCAUCUCACUUUAGUUUCACCUGGAGCAUCUCAGUGAUCAUACCCCAGAAGCCACUACAUUUUAUAUUAAACAAAGCUAAAACCAUGCCUGCUAAAAAAAACUUGGUAAAAGCAUGUGCCUCUUUUUAUUAAACUAUUUUACACAAUAUUAAAUCUGCAAAGUAAAACAAAGAACAAGGAUGCUACAUAUCUGCACGUCUCUCUGCAACUCUGACAGCUGCAGUUACAGACUGUUAAUCCAGGAGACAGCAUGUUUUAGAUUUGCAUUAAUGAGGUUUUAGUAACUCUCAAUCAAGAGUGAGUUUCUUUUGUUUACCUCCGAUACUUCUGGCAUUGUUUUUUGAAAAAGGUCCAUCCAGGGGAGCUGCUGAUUUUGGGCCAAUGCCACUCUGGGCCCCUCCACCUUACUGCCUAAAAACUAGCCAGACAUGAUAGCAAUAGUGUGCAUGCAAUUGAAUUAACCUCUUGAUUUAUUUAAAACAUCAGUUUACUGUUAAAGGGAUGUUGAAGGUCCAUCAGGGAAGCAUGAGAAGUUAAUUUCACAUGAACUUUCUUAUUGUGUCCAUUUCUGAUUAAAAUCUUGAGAGUCCUUGUGAGUCACAGAAUCAAUCUACUCACACCAAGCGUGAGUAAAAUCAUCCACCCACUUAAUUCACACAAAUCUAGACGUGUAAAUGAAAAGUAUUUACUCGCUUCAUUUGUGCAUUUAGAGCAGUUUAUGCUAAUUUCAAUGGUAAUCCCUGCCAAUUCAACCGGCGGGAUCCAGUGAUAGACAAAGGUUUUUUACAAUUUACCAAGUGAUCCGACCUCCGACCUAUGAUCCGACCUACGACCUAUGAUUCGGGGCACCAACACACCAACACGAUCAGUUUGUCCUCCAUUUUAGAUACCAGUGAACAACCGUUCAAUUUUAUACAUCACCAGGCAACCUUUGUGCUGAUGACACGAGUAUUCGCUCAAGUUGAGACAUUUUCAGCUCCCGCCCAAUUCGCGUCAUUCGCCUUGCCAGGGUAAUACAGGCAUCUAAUCGCAUCUUUGCAUUGACUUAACAUGUAAUUCAGUCACAGGAAUGAUUUUACUGGUGCUUGGUAUGUGGAGACAGUAACUCUUCUUAAAAUUCAAAGUCUGACCAUAAUUUGACAGGACUUUAAAAAUCUAAGACUGAAAAGUGGAGGACCAGCAGUACUAGCUCACAGGUCCUAAAACUCAAGCAUAUCAAAAGGGAUUGUGUGAGUUGACUGGCUGUCAAGGAGAAAUAAUUGCCCUUGAGCUUGCUUUGUGUAGGUAACUUUCAGCAAACAACGUUUUUAAAUUCAUGGCUAAAAGCUGGAUGAGCUGUGAUCCAACUGUAGAAAAGUCAGGUUUCAAUUUCAAAGUGCUAAAUUGAUGGAAAUUGGGUCUGACUUCUUGGCCUCUAAUUUAAAAUUCACUGGAUAAAAAACCUUUGGGUGCCAGGAUUUUUUUUUUUUUUUUGAACACAUAACAGAUUUGAUCAGUGUGGUUGAUUUGCAGGCAAAUUCCUGUGAGGUUACUAUUCAAAGCAGAGUUUCUCCAAGCUGCAAUUCAGCUCUCUUUAUCCUUAUCACCUCCUAUUCUCACUCUUAUAUUUUAUCUUCUGAGGUUAGAAAGGGCCCCAAUCUAUCUCACUUCAUAGUCUGUAUCCCUGUGAAUUUAGACACUUAUAGAUAGAGAGAGAGGGAGAGAGAGAGCUCAGAAAGUGGUGAUUCUGAUGUGUGAACAGACAGGCUCCAAUCUGGCAGCAUGACGCCUCUGUUCACAGUGGAUAGCAGAAUGACAGCUGUCUAAAAUGAACCAGUCCAACAAAGGCUAAAAGUUCAUUUGUACAUCUGCAAAUUAUAUUUUAAUUUCUUUGUGAAAGUGAUGAAAGCACUUCUUUUAAUAAUGGUUACAAGUACAUCAUCUUAAGGCUGAUUUAUGCUCAACAUUACGUACGGAUCUGGAAACUAACGGAGCUCUCUGUCCAUGCUUCGUGAUCUUUUUGUCCGUAUUUCUGCACGUAUCCAUUAGGUUUACGGAUACUGGCCAGACAGAGCAAUACCAACGGAAACCUGGGGGCAGUGUUGCUGCUAUUACUACCUGAUGUGCAUCUCUGAGAGAAAAGAAGAAGACAGUGGCAGGGCUUUCUUCUCAUUACUACUAGAGAAAAGAAUUCUCCGUCUUUCAACCACGAGGCAUUUAGUGGCCUGACCGACCUCCACUUCCUCCAAUGUUGCCUCCGUUUCUGUCUCCUAUGCAAAAUAUACAUGAUCACUAGCUCCUCCACAGCGGCCAUGCUUCUUUUUAGUUGUUGUUGUCUGAAUCUUUUGACUCCGGCCUGCCCCCUAAUGGAUAUAAUGGUUAACAUCCAUGCCAAUGUAAAGGACGCAUGGAAGUAUGUGGUACCUCCGUAUCAAACCAUUGUUUGAUAUGGAGGUGUACAUUUUCAUUUGUAUGGUGAGCAUAAAUGAGCCUUUUCAGUGAACAUUUUACUUAAAGAAGUAACUAAUUUGAAACUAUCAUCAUCAAACAAAACCCCAGUUAGCCACAUUGGAUUAUUUUGGUUAAUUUUCGUAAACUUUGGUCACUUGGAUGGAAACUUUGCUGGUUUUGAUGUCCUCCCUUUAAACCCCGACAUCUCUCAAACAACCUGAUAGACCUCAUUUCUUGUGGUUCAACAGAGACCUCAUGGACUCAAGCUGCAAAAGUGCUCUUACAUGAUACAAGAGACAGAGAAAAAAGGCCAGUAGAUAUCUUUUUGUACUUCUUAUUUUGAACAGAAUCCUUACACAACAAAUAAACCGCCGAGGUCCUUGUCCUUAUCUUUUUUUUUUUUUGCGUACAUCACUUGGCAGUUACAAAUAAAAUGGAAACACAGAAUAAGAGCUGGAGAUGUUUGCCAUGAGGGUCACGGUGUCUUGAUAACAUUUUCAGUGGUUUUUAUUGCAACAUUUUCUUCAGGUAACAGUGUGUCAUCUGCUCUCUGGUCAAUUCUCUCUGUGACUUUCUUCCUUUCUUUUUUUUUUUUUUUAUCUCCACAGCGUGACAGCCGGAUCAGGAAGAAUUGAUGCUCUCUUCACAACUUCAUACCAAACCUGUCCAGCAGGCUGUCUUAUCUGAUACCAUCCUCUAAUGACAUUUAAGGACUUUGUCAUGGAGAAGCUCUGCUCAACAAAUGAAGAGGCUGUCGUCUGAACCCUGGGAGAUUAAAGAGGCUUAUCAAGCA
rnacentral:lncRNA from 1 species